UACGUAGGGACCAAGCGUUGUCCGGAAUCAUUGGGCGUAAAGCGCGCGUAGGUGGCUUCGUAAGUCCGUUGUGAAAGUCAAAGGCUCAACCUUUGAAAGCCGAUGGAUACUGCGAAGCUAGAGUACGGAAGAGGCGAGUGGAAUUCCUGGUGUAGCGGUGAAAUGCGCAGAUAUCAGGAGGAACACCAAUGGCGAAGGCAGCACUCUGGGACGGUACUGACGCUGAGACGCGAAAGCGUGGGGAGCAAACAGG
rnacentral:rRNA from 1 species